rnacentral:rRNA from 1 species
UACGUAGGGGGCAAGCGUUGUCCGGAUUUAUUGGGCGUAAAGAGCGUGUAGGCGGCCACACAGGUCCGCUGUGAAAACUCGAGGCUCAACCUCGAGCUGUCGGUGGAAACCGUGUGGCUAGAGUCCGGAAGAGGAGAGUGGAAUUCCCGGUGUAGCGGUGAAAUGCGCAGAUAUCGGGAAGAACACCCGUGGCGAAGGCGGCUCUCUGGGACGGUACUGACGCUGAGACGCGAAAAGCGUGGGGGAGCGAACAGGG